AUUGGGUAGGGGAGCGUUCUGUAAGCCGUUGAAGGUGUGUUGUAAAGCAUGCUGGAGGUAUCAGAAGUGCGAAUGCUGACAUGAGUAACGACAAGGGGGGUGAAAAACCUCCCCGCCGGAAGACCAAGGGUUCCUGUCCAACGUUAAUCGGGGCAGGGUAAGUCGACCCCUAAGGCGAGGCCGAAAGGCGUAGUCGAUGGGAAACGGGUUAAUAUUCCCGUACUUCUUACAAUUGCGAUGGGGGGACGGAGAAGGCUAGGUGGGCCUGGCGACGGUUGUCCAGGUUCAAGUGCGUAGGCUGAGUGUUUAGGUAAAUCCGGACACUCUUAAGGCUGAGACACGACGUCGAGCUACUACGGUAGUGAAGUCAUUGAUGCCAUGCUUCCAGGAAAAGCCUCUAAGCUUCAGAUUGUAAGGAAUCGUACCCCAAACCGACACAGGUGGUCGGGUAGAGAAUACCAAGGCGCUUGAGAGAACUCGGGUGAAGGAACUAGGCAAAAUGGUACCGUAACUUCGGGAGAAGGUACGCUCUUGAUGGUGAAGUCCCUUGCGGAUGGAGCUGACGAGAGUCGCAGAUACCAGGUGGCUGCAACUGUUUAUUAAAAACACAGCACUGUGCAAAAUCGUAAGAUGACGUAUACGGUGUGACGCCUGCCCGGUGCCGGAAGGUUAAUUGAUGGGGUUAGCGUAAGCGAAGCUCUUGAUCGAAGCCCCGGUAAACGGCGGCCGUAACUAUAACGGUCCUAAGGUAGCGAAAUUCCUUGUCGGGUAAGUUCCGACCUGCACGAAUGGCGUAAUGAUGGCCACGCUGUCUCCACCCGAGACUCAGUGAAAUUGAAAUCGCUGUGAAGAUGCAGUGUACCCGCGGCUAGACGGAAAGACCCCGUGAACCUUUACUACAGCUUGGCACUGAACAUUGAACCUACAUGUGUAGGAUAGGUGGGAGGCUUUGAAGACGUGACGCCAGUUGCGUUGGAGCCGUCCUUGAAAUACCACCCUUGUAUGUUUGAUGUUCUAACGUUGGCCCCUAAUCGGGGUUGCGGACAGUGCCUGGUGGGUAGUUUGACUGGGGCGGUCUCCUCCCAAAGAGUAACGGAGGAGCACGAAGGUGGGCUAAUCACGGUUGGACAUCGUGAGGUUAGUGCAAUGGCAUAAGCCCGCUUAACUGCGAGAAUGACGGUUCGAGCAGGUGCGAAAGCAGGUCAUAGUGAUCCGGUGGUUCUGAAUGGAAGGGCCAUCGCUCAACGGAUAAAAGGUACUCCGGGGAUAACAGGCUGAUACCGCCCAAGAGUUCAUAUCGACGGCGGUGUUUGGCACCUCGAUGUCGGCUCAUCACAUCCUGGGGCUGAAGUCGGUCCCAAGGGUAUGGCUGUUCGCCAUUUAAAGUGGUACGCGAGCUGGGUUUAGAACGUCGUGAGACAGUUCGGUCCCUAUCUGCCGUGGGCGUUGGAAGAUUGAAGGGGGCUGCUCCUAGUACGAGAGGACCGGAGUGGACGAACCUCUGGUGUUCGGGUUGUGUCGCCAGACGCAUUGCCCGGUAGCUAAGUUCGGAAUCGAUAACCGCUGAAAGCAUCUAAGCGGGAAGCGAGCCCUGAGAUGAGUCUUCCCUGAUACUUUAAGUAUCCUGAAGGGUUGUUCGAGACUAGAACGUUGAUAGGCAGGGUGUGUAAGCGCUGUGAGGCGUUGAGCUAACCUGUACUAAUUGCCCGUGAGGCUUAACCAU
rnacentral:rRNA from 1 species